rnacentral:rRNA from 1 species
AACGAACGCUGGCGGCAUGCCUAACACAUGCAAGUCGAACGAGACCUUCGGGUCUAGUGGCGCACGGGUGCGUAACGCGUGGGAACCUGCCCUUAGGUUCGGAAUAACUCCCCGAAAGGGGUGCUAAUACCGGAUAAUGUCUUCGGACCAAAGAGUUAUCGCCGUUGGAUGGGCCCGCGUUGGAUUAGCUGGUUGGUAGGGUAAAAGCCUACCAAGGCGACGAUCCAUAGCUGGUCUGAGAGGAUGAUCAGCCACACUGGGACUGAGACACGGCCCAGACUCCUACGGGAGGCAGCAGUGGGGAAUAUUGGACAAUGGGCGAAAGCCUGAUCCAGCCAUGCCGCGUGAGUGAUGAAGGCCUUAGGGUUGUAAAGCUCUUUUACCCGGGAUGAUAAUGACAGUACCGGGAGAAUAAGCUCCGGCUAACUCCGUG